CCUUGAAAUACCACCCUUUAACGUUUGAUGUUCUAACGAAGAUGACGAAACGUGGUCUCGGACAGUGUCUGGUGGGUAGUUUGACUGGGGCGGUCUCCUCCCAAAGCGUAACGGAGGAGCACGAAGGUUUGCUAAUCACGGUCGGACAUCGUGAGGUUAGUGCAAUGGUAUAAGCAAGCUUAACUGCGAGACAGACAAGUCGAGCAGGUACGAAAGUAGGUCAUAGUGAUCCGGUGGUUCUGAAUGGAAGGGCCAUCGCUCAACGGAUAAAAGGUACUCCGGGGAUAACAGGCUGAUACCGCCCAAGAGUUCAUAUCGACGGCGGUGUUUGGCACCUCGAUGUCGGCUCAUCACAUCCUGGGGCUGAAGUAGGUCCCAAGGGUAUGGCUGUUCGCCAUUUAAAGUGGUACGCGAGCUGGGUUUAGAACGUCGUGAGACAGUUCGGUCCCUAUCUGCCGUGGGCGUAGGAGAAUUGGUUGGGGCUGCUCCUAGUACGAGAGGACCGGAGUGGACGCACCACUGGUGUUCCGGUUGUGUCGCCAGACGCAUUGCCGGGUAGCUAAGUGCGGAAGAGAUAAGUGCUGAAAGCAUCUAAGCACGAAACUUGCCAAGAGAUGAGUUCUCCCAAUCUAAGAGAUUGUAAGGGUUGUUGUAGACUACGACGUAGAUAGGUCUGGUGUGUAAGUGUAGUGAUGCAUUGAGCUAACAGAUACUAAUUGCCCGAGAGGCUUAACUAUACAACGCUCAAG
rnacentral:rRNA from 1 species